GCGGCAUGCUUUACACAUGCAAGUCGAACGGUAACAGGGAGCUUGCUCCGCUGACGAGUGGCGAACGGGUGAGUAAUGCGUCGGAACGUGCCGAGUAGUGGGGGAUAACGCAUCGAAAGGUGUGCUAAUACCGCAUACGAACUGAGGUUGAAAGUGGGGGACCUUCGGGCCUCACGCUAUUCGAGCGGCCGACGUCUGAUUAGCUAGUUGGUGAGGUAAUGGCUCACCAAGGCGACGAUCUCUAGCUGGUUUGAGAGGAUGAUCAGCCACACUGGAACUGAGACACGGUCCAGACUCCUACGGGAGGCAGCAGUGGGGAAUAUUGGACAAUGGGCGCAAGCCUGAUCCAGCCAUGCCGCGUGUGUGAAGAAGGCCUUCGGGUUGUAAAGCACUUUCAGCGAGGAGGAAGGGGUGUGUGUUAAUAGUACACACCUUUGACGUUACUCGCAGAAGAAGCACCGGCUAACUCUGUGCCAGCAGCCGCCGUAACAC
rnacentral:rRNA from 1 species